rnacentral:piRNA from 1 species
CAAAGUUCUCUCUUUAGAUUGGUG